rnacentral:rRNA from 1 species
UUUAUGGAGAGUUUGAUCCUGGCUCAGGAUGAACGCUGGCGGCGUGCCUAAUACAUGCAAGUCGAGCGAACAGAUGAGGAGCUUGCUCCUUUGACGUUAGCGGCGGACGGGUGAGUAACACGUGGGUAACCUACCUAUAAGACUGGAAUAACUCCGGGAAACCGGGGCUAAUGCCGGAUAACAUGUUGAACCGCAUGGUUCAACAGUGAAAGACGGUCUUGCUGUCACUUAUAGAUGGACCCGCGCCGUAUUAGCUAGUUGGUAAGGUAACGGCUUACCAAGGCGACGAUACGUAGCCGACCUGAGAGGGUGAUCGGCCACACUGGAACUGAGACACGGUCCAGACUCCUACGGGAGGCAGCAGUAGGGAAUCUUCCGCAAUGGGCGAAAGCC